rnacentral:lncRNA from 1 species
UUGUUAGAUAGACAAAAUAUAUUUAUUAAUCAUUUAAAAACUCAAAUACAAGUAAACCAAUUCAACCAUUAAGUUAACACAAUUUAUUACAACCCAAAAGCAACAUUACAACAGAAAAAUACACACCACCCAAGUUUAAUACAUAUAUUACUUAGACAAUCUUUUCCUACUCCCAAAUACAAAAGGAUAUAACCAAACCACAAUCACAACCCCUACUGCCCUUACACAUCGUUUCCAAUUUUUGUCUUGUUCCAUCUUUACUUGCAUUUCAAUUAUUUGAGUUUUAAUAACUUCUAUAUCCCUCUCAAAUUGAUUAAUUUUGACUUCCAUAUCUUUCUCCAAUUGAUUAAUUUUCACUUCUAUAUCAUCUUCUAUCUUACUUUUCAUAAUUUUCACAUCUUUCUCCAAUUGAUUAAUCUUGGCUUCAAGCAACUCAACCAUUGUAGUUUUUGACUUGAGAUCAACCAUUGUAGUUUGUGACUCAAUAAAUUUAUCCUUUUGCACAAAGUAGUUACAAUGUGGUCUUUGUUGCUGUAAAAAUUAACAAAAAUACUACAUUUAAAAAUUGCAACAUUAACAAAAAAUAAUAAUAACGUGGAGAGUGUUCAAAACAAGUGAUGAUUUACCUUAAAAUAAGGACACCUAUAGAAGUGUGUGUUAGGAUUCUUAGAUGUUUUUGAGAUGUAUAAGAUACACUUUUUCCCACAUUUGCAUGUAGGAGCAGCACUUUCAUAAGUAUCAACAUUUGAAACACUUCCAUUCCAACUUGCUUCACGCUUGGAGAGUAAUGGUGAAGUCUCAAACCUAACAACACCCUUCAUCUCAUGUACAAAGAGGAAGUAAACUAGGA